UACGUAGGGUGCAAGCGUUGUCCGGAAUUAUUGGGCGUAAAGAGCUCGUAGGCGGUUUGUUGCGUCGGCUGUGAAAUCCCGAGGCUCAACCUCGGGUCUGCAGUCGAUACGAGCAAACUAGAGUGUUGUAGGGGAGACUGGAAUUCCUGGUGUAGCGGUGAAAUGCGCAGAUAUCAGGAGGAACACCGGUGGCGAAGGCGGGCCUCUGGGCAACAACUGACGCUGAGGAGCGAAAGCGUGGGGAGCGAACAGG
rnacentral:rRNA from 1 species